CCCGCGCAUGCUCUAUGGGGUAGAGACGCUAGGCCGGCACUGCCUAGGUGGGCCGGGCGGUGCGAGGGUCGCCUUUCAGCCUUUACCUCUACCCACUGAAAUGGAGUAGGUCGGUGAGCGCCGAUCUGCUGGAGAAUCUCAUUAUCCCAUCGGCGCUCUGCCUGCUCCUGGCCUCCAAGCCUCUGAAGCCCCUCGGGUUUCAGCUGCCGGCUACCCUCGAGCCCGUGGUGCCCACGAGAGAGGCGACUUUACGUCAGCGGCCCUGGGCUGAGAUUUGAGAACGCGACCAAGUGGAGAAUGUUGGAGCCAGAUUUUAAAAUCCUUGUCUUCCUUCUGCGUGCUACUUGAUCUAAAUGAGAUACGGCAAAGUCACAGAACCUGUUUUUAUGUUUUUGCCUGAUUCAUACGGGCUUCUCCGGUGAAGAUGGGCCUGAAGUAACGCUUGGGUUGCUUCUGACGUUAUAACUCAUCCUGUAGCUGCAGCAACCGUGGUCCUUGCAACCUCAUAAAAAUGUUGCCAGCAUUGUUUCGAUAGUGCUGCUUAAUUCUUGGAAGGUUCUUCGGACUUCACACAUUCCAGCAGUAGCUCUCUCAGCUCCUGUCCUGCACAGCUUUGAAGUGCUGGAUAUAGUGGAAGUCAGGCUGUGUUGGUAUCCUGACCAAGGCUUUAGGAUACUGGAAGCUUUUGCUUUCUGUCUCUUGAAACACUUGACCUUGAAUUCCACCUGCCAUGCUGUUUGGAAGCCCAAGCUGCACUGUGGAGCAACCCAUGUGAAAAGGAAUGGAGGCUCUGGCUGAACUUCUCGUUGACAGACAACACCAAAUUGCCAGCCAUGUGAGCCAGCCACCUUGGAAGUAUCAUCUCCAGCCCCAGUCUAGCUGCUGUCAUUGUAUGGGGGAGAACUAAGUUUUCCUUGUUAAGCCCUUUUCAAAUUGCUGAUUUGUGAGCCAAAUAAAUGAUUGUUUUUGCUUUAAGCCAAAAAGUUUUGGGACAGUUUGAUUUACAGAAAUACUUACCUGAACAAUUGUUC
rnacentral:lncRNA from 1 species